AACGAACGCUGGCGGCGUGCCUAACACAUGCAAGUCGAGCGAGAAAGUCCGCAAGGAUGAGUAUAGCGGCGCGCGGGUGCGCAACACGUGGGUAAUCUGCCCUGAAGCCCGGAAUAACCUCCCGAAAGGGAAGCUAAUGCCGGAUAAGACCACGGGAGCAUCGGCUCCUGCGGGAAAAGGUGGCCUCUGUACACAAGCUAUCACUUCAGGAUGAGCCCGCGGCCCAUCAGCUCGUUGGCGGGGUAACGGCCCACCAAGGCUACGACGGGUAGCUGGUCUGAGAGGACGAUCAGCCACACGGGAACUGAGACACGGUCCAGACUCCUACGGGAGGCAGCAGUGGGGAAUAUUGCACAAUGGGCGCAAGCCUGAUGCAGCGACGCCGCGUGGAGGAUGGAGGCUUUCGAGUCGUAAACUCCUGUUAAGUGGGAAGAAAGACUGUUGAUUAAUACUCAGCAGGGAUGACGGUACCACUAGAGAAAGCACCGGCAAACUUCGUGCCAGCCGCCGCAGUAACAC
rnacentral:rRNA from 1 species